UGAGAACAAAGACUUGAUCACAUUAGAUUUAUCUUUUUGUAUACAGUCAUGUAUUUGAGAACAUGGCGAAUGCAGUGGGGGAGGUGGAUGAAUUGGGAAUUAGAGAUAAUUUCUCUAUUUUCCACUAUGUGUAGUUCCACAUCUUUUAUUUCCUGCACUAUUGUACUAUAGCUUAUUAAAAGAAAUACCUUGCAUUUUAUAUAUUCAAGGGUAUAUUUUACGAGGACCUUGAAGAAAAUUGUCUGUCAUGAAUAAUUUCUCUGUGAAUGUCAGUCACCUGAGUCCCUAAGCAUGGCUGAACACACAACAUGUUUAAUGAAACUUUAACAGACCCAAAAAUUUGUUUGACGUGAGCAAACGUUUAUGAUUAAAUUAAGGAUUGUUUCCAGUCCAAAGCCCAGCAAAAACAGUCCUAAUGGCUCCAACACACUAAGAAGGAUUAAAGAAAAUGUGUGCUAAAGCUGACAGUGAUGACUGAUCAAAACUUCAGUCUUUUUAGCCCUAAGGUAACUGGGUCAGAUUUCAUCAAUGUAAGCCCUAAGGUAUAAAAUAGAAAUUGGACUUGCAUGGUGAUGCAAGCUGGCUAUGAAAUUAGGAGGCCUUGGCUCACAAAAUAUGAAAAGUUGGCAUACUCAAUGGAAAUGAUGUUCAAAGCAGUUCACAGUAAGAAUGAGGAAAACAGCUUGUGCCACUUUGGAAUAAUAAACAGCAGUUCUCUUUUUGCAGUACUUAUAUUUCACACAUUGAUAAUAAUUUUGUGGCUUUUCCUAAUAUUUAUUAAAGUAGAAACAAAAAUAGAGAUCCUUUGAAGUUUCUAAAUGUUUAGAAAUUUUUUAUUAUGAAGCAUCUGUAUGUAAAAUAUAAAAGGUAUUUUUUUUGUGAAGAAAUAAUAAUUUAGGAAAAGAUCCAAGUAGCUAAAUAUAUUAUAUUUUUUUCCAGAAAAAAAUCUAAUAAGAAAACUAGUAUUUGAAAGCAAUUUGAGCAAAUCAUAAAUAAAGAUAUUUUCUUUUUGAAACAGGUUUUUAUCAUUGCAUUUGUUACUGCACAAGAGAAGAGGAGUCUCCUUCUUCUGAGGAGACAGGAGGACAAUUUAUUGUAUCUCAAAAGCAUAACAAUUAAUUCUUCACAUUAAAUACUAGGUUUUCAACUCAGAAAGAGGAUCAGAAUUUGAAAUACAUCAGGAGGGAGCAUUACCUGGUGAGAAUAUCUGAGCUGUGAGCACACCAUUUCUCUAAGGCAGAAGAAAAAUUAUUGAACAACAAUUCCAUGCAAUCCAAGAUACUUUACCAGAGGGGAUGCAAUGCUGGAUCUGAUGGUCACCAACAUAAGGGAGCAAAUGAGGUACUUCAAGUCUGAAGGCAACCUGGUGGAGUUGGUGGAGUUUUCAGUCCUAAAGGAUAUGAGUUGGGUAAGGAUUAGAGUUUGCACCUGAACUUUAGGAAAGCAAACUUUAACUAGCUUUUUAAGGAGAUAGUCAGUCAGAUCCCCUGAGAGACUGCCUUCAGGGACAAGGGAGUGCAAUGGAGCUGGCAGAUACAUAAGGAUGUCUUCAGUAAAGUGCAAGAAGUCGCAGUUCUGAGGACCAAGAAAUUGGGCAAGGAAGGCAAGAGACUGGAAUGGCUGAGUAGGGAACUGCUGGUCAGAGUGAAGGGAAUGAAGCAAAUGCACAAGCCGAGGACAGGUGGCCUGGGAAGGGCAUAGAGUAUGGUUCUGUACUCAGAAAGAAUAGCAGGAAGUGCUUCUACAGGUAUGUAAAACAGAAGAAGAAUGUCAAAGAAGGCAUGCCCUCCUGAUAAAUGGAACUGGCAAACUGAUAAAAAUGGAGAAGGUUGAGGUACUCAACAACUUUUUUGACUGAGUCUUCAAUGGCAGCUUCUCUCCCCACAUCUUUUGAGUGGAUGGGUGGCAGGAUGGGGGAGCAAUGUCCCUCCCACUGUAAGAAAAGAUCAGGUUCAUGACCACCUGAGAAACCUGAAUGUAUGUAUGUCUAUGGAGUCCAAUGAGAUGCAUUCCAGAGUCCUGAGGAAGUUGGCUGCCAUUUACCUGAGCAGUGUUAGCUGCAGGCAGUGAAUAACAGCUCCCAGAAUGACAUACCUAUUUGAAUCAAAAAGACUGCUCAUCACACUAAGAGGAGUGUUAUUUUUUGACCUGGGACUCCUGCUAGACUUUUGCAAUCUCUGCAAAGACAGACAUUACAGCCUCUGCAGCAAAGCAGUCUUAAACACAGCAGUUUCAAAUUCUGCCUCCUCUGAUAUCUGUGGCAAAAAUCCCAAUGGAGACAAGAUUUCACCAUGUUUAUUCAGGCUCAAAGGUAUGUUUACCAUACCACAAAGACACUGCUGAGCCUCUGCUAAAGUGAAAGGUUGGAGGUAGGUUGUUGUUCUGAGACUUAAAAGAAAUAAUGGAUUUAUAUCUGAUCUGAUCCAUGACACUUCAUUAAGGGAAAUUGGAAAGACAGAGACUCCCAAACACAAUAGGGUAGUAAUUAAUUUUUUUUAAUUCUAGCUUGGUUCACUGUGAUAUGAUAGUGUAUAAGGUGUGAAAUUCAGUUCUUUUCUUAACAGAAGAGAGCCAGUAUAUAACACAGCUGGCUUUAAACAGUACUAAGAGCCAAAUUUAUAUGAAAAUGAAAAGUUGUGAAAAUCAGAAGUAUUUUUUCCUCAAAUAAUACUUUUUUCUGUCCUUAAUUUUGUAUAUUUCCUAAAAUAAUGUAAACCACUAUUAUUUUGGAAAUAUACAAAAUUUAGUCUUUAUGGCAUUCUACACUUGUUCCAAGCACAGAGGUAGCUUCUUGGUGGGUUUUUUGUUGGUUUUGUUUGUUUGUUUUUGUUUUUGGUGGGCUUUUUUUUGUUUGCUAAAGAGAGAAUUAAAAAGAUUAUUCAGUAUUUCACCAGACAGAAAAAUCAAAGAAGAAAGAGCAAAUUCCAUGGGUAAGACCCUAUCUGGAAUUCAAGACACAAGCUAGAUUUGUCAUGCUACUGAACACUUCCAAUAAAUUCCUGAAUAUAUUGCUUGGUUUCUCUUGCACUUUGGCUUGGCUCAGCCUUGCAGGCCAUUCUGAGGCAAAGCUGCAAUAAAGGCUUUGGAGAGCUCAGCUCUACAGGCACAAUGCAGACAUCCUCUGUUGAAUCUUGCAGGUCUAAUAAUGUGAUGAGGAAAGACCUUGCUUAGGGAACAGAUUACAGAGAAAAUUUAUCAUAAUCAGGAAGUGUGGGCUACAGAGCUUCUAAAACUCAUUAAUAGCAUGCAAACAGGAGCUCAGGGCUCAUAAAAAUGAGUUUAAUCUAUAAAUGAUGGCUUUUGUCUGUAUCUUUUUAGGUGUCCCAGCUGCUAUUCAAGCUGAUGUUUGCAAAGAUCCCUGGAUACACAAGUGUCUCCACAACAAGAAGCCAAAUAAAGGAGGUGAUUGCGUGUUAGUUUUAACAGUGAGGAGUAGCAGAGUUCCUAAAUUAUGAUAGGAAAUCAUACUUUAUUAGCAUUUAACCAGAUAAUGCAGUUAUUCUUUGCUGUAAGUGAAUCUUGCAUAUGCUAAAGAUGCUGAGUUGAACUCUCUACAAUAGGAUGUGUAGGGGUCAUUCUACUUGUAUCCAGAGCAGCUGAAGGAGCUCAGCUCCACCAAUUCCUCUCCCUGAGAGGCAGAAAGAAAGGAGGUUUCUUGCUUGCAUGCUCACCCUCCUUUGCAUGACUAUGCAGAUAACAAUUUGGAAACUAUGAUUAGUUUACCAGAUUAAACUACUUCUUAAAACUCUUCUGGGAACUGUGCUGCUGUGCCUUGUUCUGAGAUUUCCAAAUAAUAAAUAAUCUAACUUGGUUCUCUGGAAAAUUAUUCUUUUGUAUGUUGUAAUCAGUUCUGUCAUCUGCCUAUAUUUAUUCCUUGUUAAUCCAUAGGAGUAAGGAUUUGCAGUGAAUAGUUUUGUCUCUAUCAGGAUUAAAUUUCUGCUGUAUGUUCCUUGUCUUGUUGCUGUUGCUCUUAAUUAAAAUCUUGCUUCCUUUGUUCUUUUAGUAGAUAUGAGUAUUAUCUGUGAUUCUUUGAUAUACUCUAAAAUAAAGAAAAAAAAUGUCUAUAAUAUUAUAAUGUAACGCAAUUUAUUGAUAAAAUAUUAGUAAUUUAAUUUCCUCCUAACUAAGCAAUAGUGGAUCAAAUUUUCUCUUAGAAUGUAUGACAUUGAAUUGAUAUGAAAAAGAAAUGUUGAAUGUAAAUGAUGUAUUUUUAUGAUAAUUUGGUACUCACCACAGCCUGACCACAGCCUUAGCUGUACUUGAAACUGUUGCAUUACCUUAUCUCUUUCCUUUGCCCAAACAUCUGCUAUUUCAUAUCCAUGUUUUUAAACUAGCAAAACACUCACUACAAUCGCUUUUAUUUUCUUAUGAAUCAUAUUCCUCACAAAAGUAAAAUUGAAAUAUUUUUUGUGUAAAGUCUCAAUAGGUAUGCAAGAGUUGUUUUUAUCUCUCUGAAACUGCUUGACUUCAUUUUCAGGGAUGAUUAAGAACCAGAAAUGGUGUAGAAAAAGCACCACAGUUUAAAAAGAUGUGAAGGAUUACAAUGUGUCUCAUUUCUCAUUUGGUUCAAGCUCAGGUGCCAGAGGUUACUGGUGAUUGCUGCUGAUUACGGCUGCAGGCUGGGGUAGUUUUUUCCAGCCUAGGUCUGGGAAAGGCUUUUCUUCUGUCCCCUCUUGUAUGUUUUUUUUUUUGGAUUAGCAGAAGUGAAGACUUGCAGUAUCAAAAUGUUCGCUGUUGAAAAGACCUAAGUUUGAUUUAUUGAUUUGUAUUUGGUAGUGGCGGUGGCAGCCUGUGUUAUUCCUAGGAAGUAAUGGUAAAAAGGAAGUCAGUGCUGGAGAGACAUCCUGAGACUCAUAGUAAACCUACCAUAGGUAAGAAGAAAGGUAGAUCCAGGUUGCACUCAGCAGGUAUGUUCUGGAGGAGGUUGACUUCCUACUUGGUCUGUGCAGUGCUCAUGUGUUGGCAAUACUGUAAAGUGCUGGAAUGAGGAGCUGGCUGGGAGAGAGGAAUCCUGGCUUUUGCAUGUCUCUUCUUUUGGCUUGGAAAUACUUUCAUAUACAGAGUUGUUCUGAUGCAAAUAUUUCUUUUGGUCAAUAUCAUUAAGGGUAAAGGAUGCAAAUUGAGAAGGAGCAUCCCCAUACCUGGUACUGCCUGUUUUAACACAGAGCCACUUCUUUGCUCCUGUAGAAGCUGUGUCACUGCUACUAAUAUGUGUCAUGUAAUUAUAUAAUUAGGGAAGGUUUUGCCUUGCUUUAUUGAAUAUUGAAUUUGCAUUCACUAAUGGAACUGUACAUGUGAUCUUUGAGAGCAUUACACCUUUUAAAAUUUUUUUUCCUACUUGGAGAAUCUAAUUUGGAAAGAAUGAAGCAAUAGAUAAAAUUGCAGCUAAAUUAAGUCUGCUAAUACUGAAAAUUCUACAGAGGAAAAUCAUUAUUAUUUUACUCUCUCUUCUCAGGUGUAAAUUAUAUGCUUCACUGGGGAUUUUGCUUCUCGGUAAAACUUUUAAUAAAUCUUUACCAAUACUAAAAACCAGAGAUGAAAAAGACCCAUCCUAAUUUAUGAGUCUCUGAAAUCAGCAAGUAAUUUGCUCAUUAGAUUAGACUUUUUUAAUCUAUAAAAUAUAUAACUUCUUGCUUGGUAUCUCUAGCCAAAAACACUGCACAACAUCCCCUCAAGACAUAAUCACAGGUUUCUUGGCCUUUUGAUAUAUUUCCUUUAAUGUCUUUUAAAAGGCAUUAAAUAUGGAAUUAUCAUAUUCAUGGAAAGUAAUGUGAAGUUAAAAAGCACAGGGAAUGAUUUCUUGAAGCUUUUUUGUUUCUGUGGGCCAUGGUGACCCAGCAGAAUCUGAGUAGCUGGGAAGUGAAGGCACCUGCUGCAAAUUCCUUCCAUAAUGUAAUUUUUUAUUUUUUCCAAAUCUGCUCUUUGGUUCUCUGCCAGGGGGCUUUCUCAGUCAGUCUGUUUUCAUUCAGUUGAGUCCAGACAUGUUUAUUUCACACAUUUUCCAUGUUUCAGUUGUUUGUUUUUCUAGACUGCCUGACUACUUGAUGUGGGCACAUGCUCAAAGACCGGACAAUCGGGAUUUGUUAUCACUUUAUGAGGCAUUAAAUAUUAAUUAGUGUUGGUGCUUUAGGUUACAGAAGGAAAAAAUAAUGUCUGGUUGUGAAGAACAAUAAUGAAGUUUUAGAUGGUAAGGAAUGGGUUUAGAGAUCAUGUUGGACUUAAUUACUGUGCUUUUUUUAAGUGAUAGGGGAGCACAUUAUACUCAAAAUAGCUCACCAAGGCUGCUUGAGUUGUUUUAAUUUAGAGAAUUAAAAAACUUUUAAUGGGAAAGUAGCCUCUCAACAGAAAGAAAAAAUGAAAAGCAGUAAAUUAUUUUUAUUUUUUUUGUCUUGUUAAAGUAUACAAAACUCUUAGAGAAGUAUAGUUCUGUAUGUAUAUCUCCUUGUUUAUAUUUACACACUUACAUGCAGAUGUACAUGUCAUAAUGAAUUUUAGCAGGUUGUCAAGAUUUGGUGGUACGUUUUUUGGUCCUUCUUAUAAGUGGCAGAAGCAGCACCCAAAAUACAAGGGUACCAUAGGGCUUAUUUAGAAACUUCUAAGAACUUUCUCAAAUGACAAUUUUUUGGUCAAAUGUUGCAUAUGUAGGCUUUGGUACAGAAAAAUCUUCAGAAUCUUCAUGCUGUUUAAAUAAUUGCAGCAGCAUGUAUGGACCAAUCAAUAACACAUUUUCUUUUCAAGCUUCUAAAAGAAUUUUAACAGCAGAAAUUGAACUGUCACAACAGUGGUAGAUGUUACAUCAUUGAACUUUGCAAUAAUUUUCUUUUUGUACUAUUAUGACAUUGGACAUUGUGAGCCUCAGCAAGCUCAGUGAGUGAAAAUAGAACAUCAGGAAAACUAAAUUCCAGAGCUGCCAAAUCAGGACACAGAAAUAAUAUUAACUCUUGUAGCACUCUACAUUGUAUAAGUUGUCUGUGUAACACUCAACAUGGCAACAACUUUGGUGAUUGCUAAUUGGAAUUGUGUUCAGGCCUCAAAAAAGCAAUUAGAACAAACUUGGGGAGAGAGAGGGGAUUUUGGAGUACUAGAUCACUUCAUUUCAGAAUUACUAGUUAUUAUGGCAGUGUUAACUGAGAUUUACAUUAAAACAAUGCAAAAGGCUUUAAAACUUUUGCAUUGUUUUAAUGGAAAUCUAACUGGUUUAAGUGUCACAGGCAUUGUAGCCUCUGUUAUGUUAGGAGUUACAUAGCCUAAUGAAUUAGAAAAAAAAAGAAGAGAAGAAAAUGAAGCAUGUCUCUGAGUACAGGCUUCAUUGAUCUGAGUCCAGUUAAUUUGUGUGCAGAAUUGAGAGCAGAUUUAAUGCUGCAGGCCUUCCAAUUUGAAUUUUAGGACAAGGCUAGACUUCCAAACAGAUUCACUGGCAGCCCACUCCAAGAGCAAGAAAAAUUCCUAUUGCCCCUGGAGAUGUUGUAAGAGGCCUCUAGAUUUGAUUAAAAUGCAGAGGUAAACAGGGUAGAACCAACUAACUAUGAGGCAGAAUAAUAGCCUUCAGCUGAAUAUUCAGAGAAGCUGAAGUAUCUUGGCCAGUAAGGUUUUUGACAGUCUUGUUAUUCUGUUUAUCAACUUUGAAUCUGUGUUUUCAAAAUCUUGCAAAUCACUUGCAAGUGUUAUAGUUUUCAGGCAGGGCUCUUUGAAGGUAAGUGACUUUGAAUUUCAUGAUUGCAAACAAAUCAACAAACACGAUUGCAGUUGCCAUAAAAAUUUUUCUGAAGAUUUAAUAUGAUAGAAAAAGUGACAUUACUUUGGAUUAAAGGAACAUAAUGAAAACUAUUUGUCAUAUACUGUUUUAAAAGAGAGACAUAAGCAAAACCAAUAGAACAAUCACACAAGCAUUCAUUUUCCUAUGGGCCAUCUACAGUCUAUAUAAGAUGCAAAGAAACUAAUAUAGGCCUGGAAAAAUUCCAUGUGCUAGACAUUUAUAAAGAGAAGCCUUUUACUUUUAGAUGAGGUAUACUCAAUGUCUGAGGAGGAUAUCAGAAGUGUAAGCAAAAAUUUCUGAAAGAAGACCAAGAAAUUUGUUACACUGCUUUAGUCAUUGGCCUGUCUUAUUUGAAAUACUUUAGUUUCCAUAGAGCCUAUAAAUUCUUUCUUGAAAGUUCAGUAAAAUUUUGUAGCCCUAUAAACAUCUGAGCUACAAAUCAGACUUUGUUCAGAAGUUUGGGUCUGUGACAGGAAGAAAAUAAUUAAAAUGAUUCCCUGAGAAGAAAGGGCAGACUGAAUAUUUUGGCAGAGCCUAAGACAUUUUCAUUACUGGUAUUAAGAGACGAAGGUUCCCCUUGUGGCAAGUAUACCUUGGGCUCUCCAGCAAAAGUGACUGACAAUGAAAUUUAUAAGGGAAUGAGUCUGGCAAAAACAAAAAGCCAGCAUAAAAAGACCCAAAGAAGGGAAGGCAGUAGAAAACAUUUGAAAUGCAGCUAAAUUUGCUUGUAGAUACUAAAUGACAGUAGAGGAAGUAGGGUUCUCCUUACAUCUGAAUCUAUUUGCCUGGGAAGGGCUGGCAAAAAAUACUUUGCAAGUUCCUCACAGAGCUCUGAUUGCUGUCACCCCACUCCCCUCACAGAUUCUAAUGCUGUAUUUUACAUAACUUGAUCUGGGAGCUAUAAAGUCUUUUGGAGAAAAGUGGUAAAAUUACUUCAGCUGCUGCUGGAUUUGGGUUUGCUAGUUUAUUCUAAGUUUUGGAGAGUAGUGUUGCUUCUGUCUGUAGACAAUUUCAAGUGACCUGAUAGAAAAAAAUACUGGAGCCAAUAUGACAUGACUGUUAGUGGUUAAAAGAGAGGGAUGUGCAAAGUAGCAUCAUUUGCCAUUGAGAUACUUUCUAGCUUAGGAGACCUAAUGUGAUUUAAGGUAAAAAUCCUUGCCUUGGGAAGUACUCUGCUUACUGUCAUCCUGAAGAAACAUCCCUUUCAGUUCUGAGUUCGUCAGCAAAGAACAUAAACUCCAUCACCCAGUACAUGUAGAUCACCUUUUAUGAGGUUAACAGAGCCAAAUUUUCUGAAAGGAAAAUGGAAAAUAUGGCAGAUCCUUUUGUAGAGCUACCAGUUCUGGAGCAAGUAGCUGUACGUGCUCUGACUCACACUAAAUUGUUGCCCUUCUGCUCCUCCCCACUCACUGCAAAGCCAUGAUUAAGUGCUAGAAAGAAAGGCUGUGUUUCAAACAGCCGAGGGAUGGUGGGAAAUAAGUGAUCUGUGAUUUAAUGCAAGUGGGUUCCUGGGUGUGAAUGGGUAAUGCAGAGAUCUCAAAAGUCUGUGGAGAAUAACACCA